rnacentral:rRNA from 1 species
CCUACGGGAGACAGCAGUGGGGAAUAUUGGGCAAUGGGCGCAAGCCUGACCCAGCAACGCCGCGUGAAGGAUGACGGUUUUCGGAUUGUAAACUUCUGUCGCGAGGGACGAAGAAUGACGGUCCUUCGUAAGAAAGCCCCGGCUACAUACGUGCCAGCAGCCGAGGUAAUACGUAGGGGGCAAGCGUUGUCCGGAAUGACUGGGCGUAAAGGGAGCGUAGGCGGCUCAUCAAGUUAGAUGUGAAAGCCCGCGGCUUAACCGCGGAACUGCAUCUAAAACUGGUAGGCUGGAGUGCAGGAGAGGUGAGUGGAAUUCCUAGUGUAGCGGUGGAAUGCGUAGAUAUUAGGAGGAACACCAGAGGCGAAGGCGACUCACUGGACUGUAACUGACGCUGAGGCUCGAAAGCGUGGGGAGCAAACAGGAUUAGAUACCCCAGUAGUC